CCUACCGUUCUGGCUCUGAAGUGGUCCAGUGACUCCAGUCUAGGAAAAGAAAGAGCAAAGCUAAAUUGAGAGGCGCGUAUGGCCCGAGUCAUUACUCCAAGCUUCGCAGCUUUUGUCUGCGAGCCCCUCCGAGCUUUGGCUCGACUUCCACCGCCCCUCGCAUUGAAUUCACUUGGCUUCCUCUCACACCGACCCCUCUUUUCCUCUCUCUCUCUCUCUCCAUUUCUAUAAGAAAUACCCAAAGGAGAGAGCAGGAGGAAAUGGAAGCCAACUAUCACGGAUUUCCCGCUGGAUCUUCGAAUUUUCUGUCCGUGGUGACGGAAGGAAACCUCUUCCUAUCUCUCUUCUUUUCUUCUUACCCUUUGUUCCCUGUUUUCCUCUGUUCAACUCUCUGUAUGGGCUCUUCCGUUAUUUACGAGUCUGGAAUGAUCGUUCUUGGUGAAAUCUAGAGAGUAAAGAUCGAAUCUUUUGGGUUGGGAAGUGAAGGAUCUGAGGAAAAGAUGAGAACUUUGGGAUUUUGGAUUCUGUUUCUUGCCGCCGGAGCGGCUCUGUCUUUGAGCAGAAGUGGCGGCAAUGUUGGAGAUACAGCCUGUACAAGCCGUGGAGUUGAAAUUUCUGUGCCUGUUAAAGAUUCAGCCUAUACAAGCCAUGGAAUUGAAACUGCUCUGCCUAUUGAAGGUGUAACGGCAAUGAUUACGAACAGGAAAUUGAAGGAUACAUGCAACAAAUCUACCAUAUUGUAAUUGAUGUACGACGCACAACCGAGUACUUGGUAAUGGAGGCCGUGUGCUGCAAGUUUUUCCCCUGUCACUCCUGAAAUGGUUGAUUGGGUUCCCAGCUACCUUGACCAAGAAGGGGAGCAGUGACAGAACAUGCUGGUGGGAAAGCUAAGAUAAUUUAAUGUUGCUAGUGUUUCAACCAAGAUGAGGAGGAUUUGGAAGGUGGAAGCCCAUCCUAGGGUCCAGGCUUUCUUAUGGAAGGAGUCCCAACAUAGGGUGUGUUCCAUCUCCUCAUGCCGAGAGGUUUAGUCCAGGCCCCUUGUCCCAGGUAUGCUCAACAAGCACAUCAACCAAUGCUUUACUCCAGGCGGACUGCAAAGUGGUCAGCCUUUGUCACCCAUUGAUCAGGUUGUCAUCUAAUUCUAUGGUGAGACAACCUGCAGGGUAAACUGAGUUCAGGAUCUGACCACCUGAAAACUGGAAUUUUUUACCUAGCUUGGUCAGUUUUAGAAAGCUCGCAA